GCCUCCGACGCGAAAGUGAUUGACGCACAGUCUGGCAUGGAAAGCGGCAUGACCGCCCUGAUUGGCGCGCUGGCCGGGAUCAAUAUGAUCUCCGGCGCGG
rfam:Chloroflexi bacterium RIFOXYD12_FTLL_57_15 rifoxyd3_full_scaffold_16012_curated, whole genome shotgun sequence.